GGGUGCGAUCAUACCAGCACUAAUGCACCGGAUCCCAUCAGAAUUCUGCAGGUAAGCGUGCUUGAGUGAGAGUAGUACUAGGAUGGGUGACCUAUCGGGAAGUGAUUCGAGAUAGCGUGCG
rnacentral:rRNA from 1 species